UUACUACUCCCUCCGUCCGGAAAUACUUGUCAUCAAAAUGGAUAAAAGGAGAUGUAUCUAGACGUAUUUUAGUUUUAGAUACAUCCCUUUUUAUCCAUUUUGAUGACAAGUAUUUUCGGACGGAGGGAGUACUAU
rnacentral:pre_miRNA from 1 species